CUUCUUCUGGAAAAAUAAACCAUCUCUUUCUCUAGUCUCUCUCUCUCUCUCUCUUGUCUUACAUGAUCAAUUAACCUGGAUAGUCUGAAUCGUAAGGAAUAGAUCCCGGAUCCCCCUAUCAGAUUCAACUCUGGUCUAUCAAUUUAACCUACCCUCUAUUUUUGAAUUAGGGAUUGUGAUUUCUUAUGCGAUUGUGGUUUUUCUUUGCAGCAAGGGAUUAAUUGAAGAGAUUUCAUAUUGUGUUCGUGGAGAGCGAGGUUGCGAAUCACCUCGGAUGAAAGAAGCCAUCGACCAUUAAAACUAGUUCCUCGUGCUUCAACCCGAGACCAUGGAGAAGCUCCAGCGACAACACAAUUUUAGUGUUUGUUAUUUUAUUUUCUUUGAUGGCUCUAUUCGAUAUAUAUGCGGGAGAAAAAUUGGAUGAUUUUUGUUGUCUAUGGUUUUCUGGUUAUGGCUUAUUGAUUGAAUUUUGUAUGGGUCUAUGCCUAUCAUCUCUAAUCCAAGAUCCCCAAUUUCAGCACUGAGUAGGAGGCUGAAACCAUGGCAGUGAUUGAACCCAAGAAGAUCAUCAUUGAGAUCCUGGUAUCGAUUUCGGCCAAGUCAAUUGCAGACUGAAGCUGCUCUAUUUGCUUCCCCAUGUACUCACCAACUUGAUUUCAGCCAUCCAUCCCCAGAAAGUUGAAAAAAAAUGAAUAAUAUCAAGAAUCUAAUCAAUUUCAA